rnacentral:lncRNA from 13 species
CAGAGAGAAAAUAACCCUUGAGAAUGACUGGAGUUGAUUCAUCCUGUUGGGGGCAGACUGAAGAGGCCAGAGGCCAGCGCUCAGUUCCUUCUCCUGAGAGUCCCAGUACCACUGUGGAGAUUACAAAUUGUUCACCAAAAUCUGUUCUCCGUUCUUCCAUGGUAGUUGGGUACAUGGCUGAGUAUUAUUUCUUUCCUUCUGGAUCCAUUCUAAUGAGGCUUCUCUACCUCCUCAAACCAAGAAUGCUCACUGUGAUCCCAGCCAGACUCAGACCAUCAUUUCUCCAGUAUUACUGGUUACAUUACAUGGGCCUGUUCGGUGGGAGAGGAGACCACACCGAACAUGGGAACCAGGAUGAGAGAAUCAUGGGAGGUCAUCCUGGAGGCUCAGCUGCCAGAAAUCAUGGCGCUUUGAGUCAUGAAGCUCGGGAUGUGAGGUUUGCUUGGGCAGAUCUCCUACUGCAGGCCAGGAAUGUGUCAGAAACUUGCCUUAGAGAGAACACUGUCUUCAGAUGCUACAGAGCAGUGUGGUGACCAGUAGAAACUCCACACUUGAUGAGUGGCAAAUGGGACAGGACUUAGUGAAACACCACCCACCAAGAAAUAGCAGGACCAAACAAAGCUGUGAGUGAGGAGCAGGUGGCAAGUUGGAGGCCAGAGGAGCAGGUAAAAUCAGGCACUGAAAUUAUAGCUAGGACUAAAGCAAGUGGUUUCUUUAAUUUUUAAAAUUUUUCAUUAUUAUGAUUACUUAAUCAUGUAUAUAUUUAUAGGGUACAUGCAAUAUUUUGAAAUAGACAUGCAGUGUGUAAUGUAAUCACAUCAGGGUGAUUGAGAGUAUUCAUAAAAAGAUCUUAAAAGGCUGAAGUUGGGGAUGGGAUAAUGGGCCUAGAGUGAAUCUGGUAGGCUGCAUUUUUUUUUCUGCGUCCUCCAGGGUCAGGGCUGUGGCCUUAAAGGAGCAGCCCACCUACCACCACCACCAGAUUGUACCUACGUCAAAGACUUUGAUAGCGUUUAGGAAGGAAGCUCUGGCUUGCCGCCAUUGAUACUCAGGCAUCAACUCAUUCAUGCUGGCACCAUGUUCACAAGGCCACCAGUGGCUGGGGAGGUCUUGGGAAGACCAGUCCAGUGGAAGCCCCAGUUAAAG